rnacentral:lncRNA from 1 species
CACCCGAAAUGAUCUAGUUUCUCAUUUAGACUAUCUACUUCUUUCUAUUUUUUAUUGUUGCCCUCUCCCAUUUGUCAUUCAAUAAACUUGUAGUUUUUCUUAAUCAAGGAUGUGGAUAGGCUCUCGUAUUUUGCUUCACUUAAUCAAUGUUGGUUUCUUUUCGAAGCAAUAACAUGUAUCUAUCAUGCUAUUGAACGGAUCUACUUCAACGUGGAGUAU